rnacentral:rRNA from 1 species
UACAGAGGUCCCGAGCGUUGUUCGGAUUCAUUGGGCGUAAAGGGUGCGUAGGCGGCUUUCCAAGUCUGAUGUGAAAUCCUGGGGCUCAACCCUGGAACUGCAUUGGAUACUGGGAGGCUAGAGACCUGGAGAGGAAACUGGAAUUUACGGUGUAGCAGUGAAAUGCGUAGAGAUCGUAAGGAAGACCAGUGGCGACGGCGAGUUUCUGGACAGGUACUGACGCUGAGGCACGGAGGCCAGGGGAGCAAACGGG